CUGCCAUAUCACGUUUAAACACCAGUUCCUGUACGAUCACCGAAUUUAAGCAAAGUCGAGCCUGGUCAGUACCUAGAUGUGGUACUGCUUCGUAAUACCAGGAGCUGUAA